GCGCUCACUUUGGCUGCACAUAUACUAAAAUUGGAACGAUACAGAGAUGAGCAUGGCCCUGUGCAAGGGUGACAUGCAAAUUCGUGAAGCUUCCACAUUUUUU